GAAGCGGAGAAGGAGACACCGGGAGACACAGCGGCGGAGGAUGACGAGGAUGACGUGGUGACACCGUUGGUGCGUCGACAAAUUAAACGACCUCUCUUGAACGUGGUGACUGAUACGACGGAAAAAGUAAUCUCCACUGCUUCUUCCGGAAUCUGAUUAAUUUUACAGUCUUGUAAUCGGUUGUAUCUGAUGGUGUAGGACGCGCUCGUGUUGUUUGAAUCGGUUUUUUGGAUCUUUGUAGGAGAAGCUUUCUUGCUAAGCAGAGAGAAAACAAUCUGAUGUCAAAACCUACAACUUUUCAGCUUUUGGGGUUUAUAAUGUAAAAUUUGCGCCAUGGGUAUGUGAAAAAUAGAUUUUGAAAUUCUGGUUAAUUUGUGAAAAAUAGAUAUUGAAAUUCUCAUUAAUUAAUAAUCAAAUGGAGGGGAGGGUUUGUUAUAAAUUCAAACUUCUCUCUCCCCCCUCUCUCCACUCCCUCCUAACAAACACUAUCACCAACAAUCAUCCGAGAGAGAGAAAGAGAGAGAAAAUGGAGAGAAAAAUGUAAGCGAUCUUAGCAAGGUUGGAGAAAUUGGAGAGUCUACGUCGCAAAGACCAAAGAGCUGUGGCCAACCUUCUGGAGAAACUGCAAGAUGAAGAAGAGGAGGUAAAAACGGCCGAGAAUCAGUCGUCGAAGGUUACUCCACAGCCGAAUCUGUUUUAAAUUUACAGUCACUUAAUCUGUUGUAUCUGAUGGUGUAGGAUGCGCUCGUGUUGUUUGAAGCGGAGAAGGAGACACCGGGAGACACAGCGGCGGAGGAUGACGAGGAUGACGUGGUGACACCGUUGGUGCGUCGACAAAUUAAACGACCUCUCUUGAACGUGGUGACUGAUACGGCGGAAAAAGUAAUCUUCACUGCUUCUUCCGGAAUCUGAUUAAUUUUACAGUCUUGUAAUCGAUUGUAUCUGAUGGUGUAGGAUGCGCUCGUGUUGUUUGAAUCGGUUUUUUGGAUCUUUGUAGGAGAAGCUUUCUUGCUAAGCAGAGAGAAAACAAACUGAUGUCAAAACCUACAACUUUUCAGCUUUUGGGGUUUAUAAUGUAAAAUUUGCGCCAUGGGUAUAUGAAAAAUAAAUUUUGAAAUUCUGGUUAAUUUGUGAAAAAUAGAUAUUGAAAUUCUCGUUAAUUAAUAAUCAAAUGGAAGAGAGGGUUUGUUAAAAAUUCAAACUUCUCUCUCCCCCUUCUCUCCACUCCCCCUAACAAACACUAUCACCAACAAUCAUCCGAGAGAGAGAAAGAGAGAGAAAAUGGAGAGAAAAAUGGAAGCGAUCUUAGCAAGGUUGGAGAAAUUGGAGAGUCUACGUCGUAAAGACCAAAGAGCUGUGGCCAACCUUAUGGAGAAACUGCAAGAUGAAGAAGAGGAGGUAGAAACGGCCGAGAAUCAGUCGUCGAAGGUUACUCCACAGCCGAAUCUGUUUUAAAUUUACAGUCAGUUAAUCUGUUGUAUCUGAUGGUGUAGGAUGCGCUCGUGUUGUUUGAAGCGGAGAAGGAGACACCGGGAGACACGGCGGCGGAGGAUGACGAGGAUGACGUGGUGACACCGUUGGUGCGUCGACAAAUUAAACGACCUCUCUUGAACGUGGUGACUGAUACGGCGGAAAAAGUAAUCUUCACUGCUUCUUCCGGAAUCUGAUUAAUUUUACAGUCUUGUAAUCGGUUGUAUCUGAUGGUGUAGGACGCGCUCGUGUUGUUUGAAUCGGUUUUUUGGAUAUUUGUAGGAGAAUCUUUCUUGCUAAGCAGAGAUAAAACAAACUGAUGUCAAAACCUACAACUUUUCAGCUUUUGGGGUUUAUAAAGUAAAAUUUGCGCCAUGGGUAUGUGAAAAAUAGAUUUUGAAAUUCUGGUUAAUUGGUGAAAAAUAGAUAUUGAAAUUCUCGUUAAUUAAUAAUCAAAUGGAGGAGAGGGUUUGUUAUAAAUUCAAACUUCUCUCUCCCCCCCCUCUCCACUCCCCCCUAACAAACACUAUCACCA
rnacentral:lncRNA from 1 species